rnacentral:tRNA from 1 species
GUGUGCGUAAUUUAAACAAAAUAUCAAGCUGUGGCCCUGACAAUAGGAUAUAUCCUCACACACCC